AUACGGAGGAUCCGAGCGUUAUCCGGAUUUAUUGGGUUUAAAGGGUGCGCAGGCGGGAGAUUAAGUCGGCGGUGAAAUUUUGCAGCUCAAAUGUAAAAGUGCCUUCGAAACAGGGUUCCUUUAGUGUAGAUGAAGUAGGCGGUAUUUGUGGGGUAGCGGUGAAAUGCAUAGAUAUCACGAGGAACUCCGAUUGCGCAGGCAGCUUACUAAGCCAUAACUGACGCUCAUGCACGAAGGCGUGGGGAUCAAACAGGAUUAGAUACCCUGGUAGUCCACGCAGUAAACGAUGAUUACUCGCUGUUUGCGAUACAAUGUAAGCGGCUAAGCGAAAGCAUUAAGUAAUCCACCUGGGGAGUACGGCCGCAAGGUUGAAACUCAAAGGAAUUGGCGGGG
rnacentral:rRNA from 1 species